UACGGAGGGUGCAAGCGUUUAUCCGGAUUCACUGGGUUUAAAGGGCGCGUAGGUGGCCUUCUAAGUCGAACGUGAAAUCCCUGGGCUCAACCCAGGAACUGCGUCCGAUACUGGUGGGCUCGAAUCCGGGAGAGGGAUGUGGAAUUCCAGGUGUAGCGGUGAAAUGCGUAGAUAUCGAGAGGAACACCUGCGGCGAAGGCGGGUUGCUGGGCUGACACUGACGCUGAUGCGCGAAAGCGUGGGGAGCAAACAGG
rnacentral:rRNA from 1 species